GAAAUGCGAUAAGUAAUGCGAAUUGCAGAAUUCAGUGAGUCAUCGAAUCUUUGAACGCACAUUGCGCCCUGUGGUAUUCCGCAGGGCAUGCCUGUUCGAGCGUCAUUUCAACCCUCAAGCUCUGCUUGGUGUUGGGCCCUGCCCGUCGCGGCCGGCCCUAAAGUCAGUGGCGGUGCCGUUGGGCUCUAAGCGUAGUAAUGCUCUCGCUCUGGAGUCCCGCGGUAGCUUGCCAGCAACCCCCAACUUCUAUGGUUGACCUCGGAUCAGGUAGGGAUACCCGCUGAACUUAA
rnacentral:misc_RNA from 1 species